AGGAAUCGAAUAGAACUAAGACAUCUCCUCAUGAACACCAAAAACACUAACAGCACAACUGUUCAAAAAGAGCAUUCAUCCAAUGAAGCAGACAGUGAACGAGGUGAAAUCUAUAAACGAAAGAUGAUUAUCUACUAAAACAUCAACAUUGAUGAGCUGCCAUGAUAUCUUUCUUCACCUCUGCUUCCCUACAUUCCAACGCAGCUACAAAGAAGCCAGAAACACCCAUUACUCCAGAGAUAUGUCGCUAUACAUCUCUCAGAACAAUAAAGAGAAACUAGGAGCUACAGCGAGAGGAAGCCAGAGCAGCCAUCAUCGAAGUUGAGCGCAUAGCUGAAGGGAUCAUAAUGGAAGCUGAAACGCUGCUUGCUCUCUCUUGCUCUUCCCAGCUGCCUCCUUAUUCCGGCUCUGAGCCUCCAGUAGAGGCUUCUAAACCUCCCUUUCCCUCCUCCUGUGGCCGUCCCAGCCUCUCCUGCGGCUGCCAUCACCACUCCACCUCACAGAGAGCAAAUGGAAUAAGAUUCCCAAACCUUCGAGGGACGCAAGACAGCACCGCACCUGACAAGGAGCAGGCGACCUCUAGUCCAUCCUUCGGAAGGAGAGGUGAGAUAGAAUGAGACUGGUUGGGUUAACUCUGAGGCUAUAGUGGACGUUACAGAGCUUUAUAGGACGGACAAAGAUUGUGGGAGUGCUACUUUUGAUUCCUCUUUCACUUUGUUUAUGCUCCUAUGUUCACAAUAUUAUGGUAUGUGGCAAGUUUUGGCCAUCACAUGGGCAAAGGGAGGUCAGAGCUGCAUGCCUUGUGGCUUGCUACUGCUUCCUUCAUAUUUAAUGCUAGCAUGUCCAUCUAAUUAAACAACAGAAAAUCCAAGAAAAUUCUGAGAAUAAUUGAUGGAUGUAUGAUCCAGUUCAAACUAUUGUUGUGCAGAGAUGCAAGUGGAAUGUGGAGCCCUGAUGAGGAGGUAUCUCAUCUUUCUUUAAAGCUCCCAGUAGUACUGGAUUGAGAAACUGGGGGAGGUUGAUUCAAUCACUCUUUCUACUU
rnacentral:lncRNA from 1 species